UACGUAGGGGGCUAGCGUUGUCCGGAAUCAUUGGGCGUAAAGAGCGUGUAGGCGGCUCGAUAAGUCCGCUGUGAAAGUCCAGGCUCAACCCUGGGAUGCCGGUGGAUACUGUCGGGCUCGAGUCCGGAAGAGGCGAGUGGAAUUCCUGGUGUAGCGGUGAAAUGCGUAGAUAUCGGGAGGAACACCAAUGGCGAAGGCAGCUCGCUGGGACGUGACUGACGCUGAGACGCGAAAGCGUGGGGAGCAACAGG
rnacentral:rRNA from 1 species